GACCUGUAAGAAUCGGCGGCAGCGACAGCGAAAAGGGCGGCGAGGAUGAAGAACUAAUAAAAUAUGGAACAUUUGACGCCAUGUAAAAGCACUUUCAAAGCCACGCUGAAGUCGAUGACCACUGAAACGCUUCAUGCUAAAGGUCAUCUAUUCUUUCUUCAUUUACAACUCAAGAAGGCUCAGUUGGAUGAAUAAAUUUCAUGAUGGCAGUUUUUACAUUUGAAGCCUUUUCUCUAUUCUUUUAUUGAAUUGUAUCUGCGUUUUGAACUUGUGGUAAUCCUAUCCAUUCCGAGUGGUUCUGGCCCUUCAGUUUCCGCAGGACAAAAGAAUUCCUUGCUGUUCAAAAACAUCCACGUUCGGUGGUUUAAAUUCAGUAUCGUUUCCUGUGUAUGUUUCUAUUGUACCUGAUUUUGGAGCUAACUUGGUGAGCCCGUUCUGCAUCAUCAAAGAUUUGGGAUCAUCAUCGCGGGUAAACGAUUUAGGAACUGCAGAGUCUGCGAUUUGUAUGCCGGAGCUUCGUACUUGGGAGCGUAUUCGGCUGACCUGUAAGAAUCGGCGGCAGCGACAGCGAAAAGGGCGGCGAGGAUCAAGAACUAAUAAAAUAUGGAACAUUUGACACCAUUUAAUAAGG
rnacentral:lncRNA from 1 species